CUCCCCCCAAAAUAAAACAAAAUAGAAUUAAGAGAAAAAAGGAGAAAAAAGAAGGAGGGGGAAAGUCUCAUCAUGGAAGCUGCAGUGUGACACAGUGAGUCAGGCAGUAAACCCCUUUAUCCAUCACAUGCAGGUGUUCAAGGCCCAUGGUGUCUACUACACCAUUGAUACCAGGCUUUCACAGGGGCUCUUCCUGUUGCUGCCCUGUGUCAUGGAGAUUCUGCAGCCCUGGUUCCAUAGGACUGACCCCCCUAUCCCUAACCCAUGCUCAGCAGAUCACAGAUGGGUGGAUAUUGGGGUGGACCAACACUUAACCCUGGUUCUGAGCCUGGGUAGUUGCAGGGUUGGUCAGCCCACCAGUUCUCCCCUGUCCUCACCACCAGGGUGAGCUCUCCUGAAUUUCCCUGGCUAGUUCACUCCUUGCAACCAUGAGCAAGGUGUAGGGCCAGUUCUUCUGCUUUCAUGUCCUCAGGGCUGGUUCUCCCACACCUACGCCUUUAGGACCAGCUCUACUGUGUUGUACAGUCAAGGUGUAGGGGCCACUCUCCAAGAACUGCAGCUGACAAAGGACAGGAACAGCUUUCCCAUUCUUAAGACCUUAGGGCCAGCUUUUCACUUGCCCCAGGCAUCAAUGGAUAGGUGGGGGUGGAGGGCAUCUCUGCCUAGCCCAUGCUGACACAUGACAGAUGAGUAAUGGGGAUAGUGCUCCCAUGUUCAUAGCUUUAGGGCUGGCUCACCCACAACCUCUGCUAACAUGGUUGGCUCUAUUGUGCUGCCCAGGCAAGUUACAGGGCCUGCUUUCCCUAGUGUUGUAGCUUCAUCUGGGUAUUUUUAUGUGGGUUCUGGGUGAUGGAUCCUGGAAAACACUUUUCAUUUCUCUAGCCCCAAAUGUAUUUUAAUUGUCAUAUAAAGCAUAAAACUACACAUAUUAGUGGGGUACUGAGUAUAUGCACAUACUGUAGUGUUUAAACAAGACUAACUAAAUAUACUUACCUUUUUGAACAUUGAUACUUUCUUUAAAAAUUACAUUUAUUUAUUUAUUUAUUUUAUAUGUAAAUGUAUGAAUGAAUACAUGCCACAGUGUGUAUUUAGAGUUCAGAGAACAAAGUGGGGGCAGGGCUUGGUUCUUUUCCUGCACCAUGUAGGUUCUAGGGAUGGAACUUAGGCCACCAGGCUUGUUAGCAAGCAACUUUACUUGCUGAGUUGUCUGCCUGAUCCGGUCUUUUGGCAAUUUCUUUUCUGUGAAAGCUCUCUAGAUUUCUAUAGUUGGUUUUUUUUUUUUUUUUUUUUUUUUUUUUUUUGUUUGUUUUUUGUUUUUGAACACAGAGGACACUGUGGUCUCAUUAUCACCACCUGUGCAGAAACAAGCAGGGCUUCCUGCUCCCAUCUGUGUCUUGAUGAACGUGGACCCAUCUUUCCCCAUUCCAUCCUGCCUCUGAGAGUAAGAUGUAUGUGUAUGCCCAGGCUGAUGCAAAGGCGUUUGGAAGCUGACCAGUUUGUGACCCCAAGUGACCCUAAGCGAAUACCAGCAGCAUUGUGACAGCCGAAUCAUAAGUCACCCCAGGGAAGGAAUGCUGCCUAUGCCUAUGGGAACCUUUUGUUGAGACCCUGCCCAGAAGCAAGUCUCACCUGGAUCAGAGGAGGGGUGUUAGGAGGAGAGAGAUUAGAAUUUUCUGAAAUGGAAGAAGGGGACAAUGGCCCUUGUGGCUCCUCCAGACUGACAAUGUAGGCUUUGGUCAGCCAUAGGUCCUGGAGGGGGACUUAGAAUGACUGAAGAAGGCUCUUCAUAGCACACCAGGAAUCAUGGGAGCAUGACAGGGCAAUCCUGGGUCUGUUGAAUGGGCUUGCCCCAGGAAUGUUCAGAGGGAACUCUGUCCUUGCAUCAGUGCAAUGUGGCCCCUAACGCUAACCCUAACCCUGAAAUUCACACAUGCAGCUAUCCUGUGACUGUUCAUCUUGACUCUUACCAGCUCCUCACUGCUCGGUCUAGUGGAUCAAAAGUACUGCCCACGCUGAGCAUUUAGAGUGACAAUGGGAUAUUGUGACAAUCUCAUUAGAGGUUGUGGGGUGUAUGGUGAGGGGAGGCUCCCACCCACAGAUGGUUUCAAAGAGCAGAAUUGCUGGGUGGCAGGUAGCCAAGCUUGCCCAGUGAAUCUUGGGCUGGCUGUGGUGGAAGGAAAUUCACUGGGACUUUGCUGUGAGCUAACAGUCUCUGCCCUGCCCUGGAGACAGACUGUCUCAGUCCCACCACAGCUCAUUUCUGCUGGGAAGCAGUGGUGAGUCCCAUUUCUGAUAUGAAGACAUGAAGGUCAGAUUCUCCCUCUUGCUUGGAGUCACAGUGAGCAUUAGAUUUUGACUGUGAGUUCAGAGUUGACAUUUGCUCAUGGGGCACAUGAGUGCACAUUAGAAGGAACAUUAGCCUGUUUCCGGAAGACUUCAACUUAGCUGAGUACUUUUUGCAACACAGAACUUGAACAAACACACACUGCAGCCCUGCCCAGACCUGAAUCCUAAUCCUAUGCUCUCCCAGGAAUCCCGUGCCACUUUCUCCUGCACAGAAGCAGCAGAUGGCCUGAUUUAGCCCCUCUGCUGCUCCUUGCAGACAAUCCUUCCAUUUGGGUGAGUGGAUGAGAACCAUAGAGUCAGAGGACAACUGAAUGACCCUUUAUUCUGCAGAGAUGGAAACUGACAACCAGGAGGUGGCAGUGGCAGCCAAGAACACAUUCCGAGUCACAAAGAACUGUCAGCUCAGGGGGUUCUGGUUCUGGUCAAGGCCUCAGGUUAUCUGUUCAUACCUUGGGGUCUUAGUGGCACCAACAUCCAGGUUGCAUGCAGACCCUGUAACUGGAUAUGGAGUUCUUUCUUUCUGUGGUGGCUGAGAGCUUGGGCUGUAUCUCCUCAUCCUUAGCAGCCACCAAAGUGUUUUCUCCAGAUACCUUGCAGGAAGUUUAACAAAUGGCUUGUUUUGAUAUGGUUCCUCCCCAGGGGCACUGCCACCUUCAGGGAUUGGAGGAAAGUGUCAUUUCCCAGGGCUCAUUGAAUGAGGUACCUUUCUCUGUCUUCCCCAGUUGGUACUCUGUGCUCCAGCAAGGAUAAGCCAUUCUUUAGGGACUCAGUCCUGGGUCACCAGAGCUGCUGGUGAGUGACAUGCUCAGAGUGUCUGACCAGAGCUGACACAGCUGCAGAGACCUGUGCUAGAUGGUGGGAGGAAGAGUGAUUGUGGGUCCUGAGGAUGGGUUGGGACACAGAAUCAUACAGAUUGCUCCACAGUUGUCAAGUGGGUCUCCAGCUUUCUGCUUAUGCCAGCCUACCUGGUGCCCACACCCACCUACCUUCCUUGGGUCUGGUUGGAGUCCCAAGGUGGGAACAAAAGCAGGUCCCAGGAGUCCAGGUGCCUAUGUUCCCAUCUCCCAACUGAAUGAUAAUUGCAGCCACAAACUUCUUUAAGGGAGGGUGACCCACCUCUUCCCUUUACGUUUUUACCCUAUGCCCUGCUGGUGACCUGGGUUUAUGGGACCACCUAUCUCUUCCACAACUGCAGGCCUCCCUUAUCACUUCGAAAUUACACCAACCCGCCCUACAACAGGCAGGAUACUUUGGCUCUGAUGGUUUUAUAGCCCCUUCAUACUAUGCCAAUACCUGGCUUCUAAAGAACUCCCUGUCUGCCCAGAAGGCAGGUGAGUGGGACAUGGCAGAGGCCAGGCCCCAUGGGCUCUGUGGGAGAUGUAGAGUGCCUGUGGGAAUCAUCCAGAAAUGAACUGUUUGCUUCCUUAGAUGCAGAUGAAGUCAUCACCCAUUUUGAGUCAUGAUGUCUAUAAGAGGCACCAAGCUUAGGAGCAACACCAGACCCACCAGGCAGAGAAGAAAGGAUUUCCCAGUUACUGCACAGUGGUGUCCACCCCUGCCUUAGCCAGCCUGCAAAGGUGCCUGUUUAGCCUAGAAGGGACAUGGGAAUUACCCCAAGGCUUUGAGACAUGCAUGGUCAGUGGAGAGAUUUGACCCCAUCCUGAAACUUGGCACCUGAUUGUGAAUAUCCUGGAAGUCAUACCUCAGCAAGCUCCUUUCCAAGGUGGAAAUAUCCCAGAGAGAAGGAGUAGAAGAGAAGCUUCACAGUUAACCAGUAAGUAGUAAGUAUUGGGCUAAACCUGGCUCUAAGCUGUGUCCCUCACUUGGUUGUCAUCCUUAGAGUCUCUUGACUGAAACUCUUAUUUGACGGUGAAUGAACUGAGAGGAAAGAUAAGAGGUUAUUGUUGUUAUACCUGUUGGCUCAGCUCCUUCUUUGAAUUCCCUUGAUUUUGCCUUUUUAUAGAUUGAGCAUGGCCCAUGGACAGCCUAAUAAAAUACCCUUUCAUACCAGGUGUGGUGGCACACACCUUUAAUCUCAGCACUUGGGAGGCAGGGCAGGUAGAUCUCUGUGCCUUUGAGGUCUGCCUGGUCUACAUAGUGAGUUCCAGGACAGCCAGGGCUGCAAAGAGA